rnacentral:tRNA from 1 species
GGUAGCACGGUGGUAGUGCAGCAGCCUGAAGAGCUGCGUACCUGCCCAGGCAUCGCGGGUUCGAGUCCCGCCGGCG